AUGAAAUGUUUGUCGAGAAGGGUUGUAGCUGGCCUCCAGGGGCAUGUGCACACCCCGAUCGCAUCCACCUCUCACACCUGUGCACUACCUGUAGCCUUGGGAUGAUUACGGAGCCCUGACGGGUGACGAAUGCCUUUGUCUAUGAAUAUUUUCACACACGCUCAAAAUAUGACAGAAUGUACAUCACAUUGCGUCUGAUAAACGCGACAAAUA
rnacentral:misc_RNA from 1 species